CACCAUCCUGCAUAUUCUGCGGCA
rnacentral:siRNA from 1 species